UACAGAGGGGGCAAGCGUUGUUCGGAAUUACUGGGCGUAAAGGGCGCGUAGGCGGCCUUCUAAGUCGAACGUGAAAUCCCCGGGCUCAACCCGGGAACUGCGUCCGAUACUGGAAGGCUUGAAUCCGGGAGAGGGAUGCGGAAUUCCAGGUGUAGCGGUGGAAUGCGCAGAUAUCAGGAGGAACACCUAUAGCGAAGGCAGCUUGCUGGGACGUUACUGACGCUAAGGCGCGAAAGCGUGGGGAGCGAACAGG
rnacentral:rRNA from 1 species